rnacentral:pre_miRNA from 12 species
AUGGAGAGCAACCUACAGAUAACUUCAGUGAACAUUCAACGCUGUCGGUGAGUUUUCAGAUUUAAAAGAAACCAUCGACCGUUGACUGUACCUUGAGGUUUAUCAGAUGCACUACUCAAUAA